rnacentral:rRNA from 1 species
GAUGAACGCUGACAGAAUGCUUAACACAUGCAAGUCUACUUGAUUCUACUUCGGUAGUUGAUGGUGGCGGACGGGUGAGUAACGCGUAAAGAAUCUGCCCUUUAGUUCGGGAUAACCUUUGGAAACGAAGGAUAAUACCGGAUAUUAUGGAGACGUCGCAUGACGAUUUCAUGAAAGCUAUAUGCGCUAGAGGAGGACUUUGCGUCCCAUUAGUUAGUUGGUGAGGUAAUGGCUCACCAAGACCGCGAUGGGUAGCCGGCCUGAGAGGGUGAUCGGCCACAAGGGAACUGAGACACGGUCCUUACUCCUACGGGAGGCAGCAGUGGGGAAUAUUGGACAAUGGGCCACAAGCCUGAUCCAGCAAUUCUGUGUGCACGAUGAAGGUCUUCGGAUUGUAAAGUGCUUUCAGUAGGGAAGAAAAAAAUGACGGUACCUACAGAAGAAGCGACGGCUAAAUAUGUGCCAGCAGCAGCCGCAGUAA